AGCCCUUGACAUGUCCAGGACCGGUCGCAGAGAUGUGACCCUCUCUUCGGAGCCUGGAGCACAGGUGCUGCAUGGCUGUCGUCAGCUCGUGUCGUGAGAUGUUGGGUUAAGUCCCGCAACGAGCGCAACCCCCGUCCUUAGUUGCUACCAUUUAGUUGAGCACUCUAAGGAGACUGCCGGUGAUAAGCCGCGAGGAAGGUGGGGAUGACGUCAAGUCCUCAUGGCCCUUACGGG
rnacentral:rRNA from 1 species